CAGUCGCCACGGGAAUACGUAGGUGGCAAGCGUUGUCCGGAAUUAUUGGGCGUAAAGGGCUCGCAGGCGGUUUCUUAAGUCUGAUGUGAAAGCCCCCGGCUCAACCGGGGAAGGUCAUUGGAAACUGGGAAACUUGAGUGCAGAAGAGGAGAGUGGAAUUCCACGUGUAGCGGUGAAAUGCGUAGAGAUGUGGAGGAACACCAGUGGCGAAGGCGACUCUCUGGUCUGUAACUGACGCUGAGGAGCGAAAGCGUGGGGAGCGAACAGGAUUAGAUACCCCAGUAGUCCCUGUCUCUUAUAC
rnacentral:rRNA from 1 species